AACGGGUGAGUAACACGUGAGCAAUCUGCCCCUGACUCUCGUAUAAGCGCUGGAAACGGCGUCUAAUACCGGAUACGAGCUGCGACCGCAUGGUCAGUAGCUGGAAAGAAUUUCGGUCAGGGAUGAGCUCGCGGCCUAUCAGCUUGUUGGUGAGGUAAUGGCUCACCAAGGCGUCGACGGGUAGCCGGCCUGAGAGGGUGACCGGCCACACUGGGACUGAGACACGGCCCAGACUCCUACGGGAGGCAGCAGUGGGGAAUAUUGCACAAUGGGCGCAAGCCUGAUGCAGCAACGCCGCGUGAGGGAUGACGGCCUUCGGGUUGUAAACCUCUUUUAGCAGGGAAGAAGCGAAAGUGACGGUACCUGCAGAAAAAGCGCCGGCUAACUACGUGCCAGCAGCCGCGGUAAUACGUAGGGCGCAAGCGUUAUCCGGAAUUAUUGGGCGUAAAGAGCUCGUAGGCGGUCUGUCGCGUCUGCUGUGAAAACCCGAGGCUCAACCUCGGGCCUGCAGUGGGUACGGGCAGACUAGAGUGCGGUAGGGGAGAUUGGAAUUCCUGGUGUAGCGGUGGAAUGCGCAGAUAUCAGGAGGAACACCGAUGGCGAAGGCAGAUCUCUGGGCCGUAACUGACGCUGAGGAGCGAAAGGGUGGGGAGCAAACAGGCUUAGAUACCCUGGUAGUCCACCCCGUAAACGUUGGGAACUAGUUGUGGGGUCCAUUCCACGGAUUCCGUGACGCAGCUAACGCAUUAAGUUCCCCGCCUGGGGAGUACGGCCGCAAGGCUAAAACUCAAAGGAAUUGACGGGGACCCGCACAAGCGGCGGAGCAUGCGGAUUAAUUCGAUGCAACGCGAAGAACCUUACCAAGGCUUGACAUAUAGAGGAAACGUCUGGAAACAGUCGCCCCGCAAGGUCUCUAUACAGGUGGUGCAUGGUUGUCGUCAGCUCGUGUCGUGAGAUGUUGGGUUAAGUCCCGCAACGAGCGCAACCCUCGUUCUAUGUUGCCAGCACGUAAUGGUGGGAACUCAUGGGAUACUGCCGGGGUCAACUCGGAGGAAGGUGGGGAUGACGUCAAAUCAUCAUGCCCCUUAUGUCUUGGGCUUCACGCAUGCUACAAUGGCCGGUACAAAGGGCUGCAAUACCGUGAGGUGGAGCGAAUCCCAAAAAGCCGGUCCCAGUUCGGAUUGAGGUCUGCAACUCGACCUCAUGAAGUCGGAGUCGCUAGUAAUCGCAGAUCAGCAACGCUGCGGUGAAUACGUUCCCGGGUCUUGUACACACCGCCCGUCAAGUCAUGAAAGUCGGUAACACCUGAAGCCGGUGGCCCAACCCU
rnacentral:rRNA from 1 species